rnacentral:rRNA from 1 species
UACGUAGGGACCGAGCGUUGUCCGGAAUCAUUGGGCGUAAAGAGCGUGUAGGCGGCCACUUAAGUCCUGCGUGAAAUCUUGCGGCUCAACCGCAAGCGGUCGUGGGAAACUGGGUGGCUAGAGUGCGGGAGAGGAGAGUGGAAUUCCUGGUGUAGCGGUGGAAUGCGCAGAUAUCAGGAAGAACACCCGUGGCGAAGGCGGCUCUCUGGAACGCAACUGACGCUGAGACGCGAAAGCGUGGG